UCACUUUCAACAACGGAUCUCUUGGCUCUCGCAUCGAUGAAGAACGUAGCGAAGUGCGAUAAGUAAUGUGAAUUGCAAAUUCCGUGAAUCAUCGAAUCUUUGAACGCAAAUUGCACCCUUUUCGGAGAGUAUGCCUGUUUGAAG
rnacentral:rRNA from 1 species